rnacentral:rRNA from 1 species
AAUUUUGGACAAUGGGGGAAACCCUGAUCCAGCCAUCCCGCGGGUAGGAUAAAGGCCUUCGGUUUUGAAAGUACUUUUGGCAUAGAAGAAAAGUUAUCCCCCAAUAGGGGAGACUCCUGACGGUCCUGUAACAAUAAGCACCGGCUAACUACGUGCCAGCCGCCGCGGUAAUACGUAGGGUGCGAGCGUUAUUCGGAUUUACUGGGCGUAAAGGGUGUGUAGGCGGUUCGGGAAGAAAGAUGUGAAAUCCCAGGGCUCAACCUUGGAACUGCAAUUGUAACUGCCGAGCUAGAGUAUGUCAGAGGGGGGUAGAAUUCGACGUGUAGCAGUGAAAUGCGUAGAUAUGUGGAGGAAUACCGAUGGCGAAGGCAGCCCCCUGGGAUAAUACUGACGCUCAGACACGAAAGCGUGGGGAGCGAACAG